rnacentral:rRNA from 1 species
UACGAAGGGGGCUAGCGUUGUUCGGAAUCACUAGGCGUAAAGCGCACGUAGGCGGAUUUGCCAGUCAGGGGUGAAAUCCCGGGGCUCAACCUCGGAACUGCCCUUGAUACAGCAAAUCUCGAGUCCGGAAGAGGUGAGUGGAAUUCCUAGUGUAGAGGUGAAAUUCGUAGAUAUUAGGAAGAACACCAGUGGCGAAGGCGGCUCACUGGUCCGGCACUGACGCUGAGGUGCGAAAGCGUGGGGAGCAAACAGG